UGGUUUUCUCUAAUCCGUUCAUGUCAAACUACUUCCUAUUCAGGUCCUCCAAGAGGCAAGAGCCAAGUUGAAGAAGACAAAGAAUCUCAGGAGUCACUCGAAUUCCUAAGACAAAUCCUGAAGGAAAUGCUGCAGAAACAGAGAGAGAUGGACCAAGGGGCUGUUCAGAAGUCAGUGUUCCCCAAAGGAAGCAGUGGUUCCGUGCCAGGUUCUGCUGAGGGCAGGGAGGCAAUGCCAGGCACAGGUACACGGGGUGCAGCCAGUGCGACAAUACAUGCUCCCAAGAUCCAGGAGAGCAUUGGUAGAGGUUUCUGUUCAGGAGCACGAUGUUUAACUGUGAUAAUGGCAAGUGUGUUGGGCUGGCAGCUUGCCAUCAUGUUGUGCUGUGCUGGAAUCUGGUACUGGUGGGAAAGAAAACGGUGAGUUGUUUGUUGAUCUCCCCCUCAAACAG